GAGCUAAUAACUCAGAGGUAGAGUACACGCUUGAUAAGCGUUUAGUCAGUGGUUCAAAUCCACUUUAGCUCA
rnacentral:tRNA from 1 species